rnacentral:rRNA from 1 species
ACGAACGCUGGCGGCGUGCCUAAUACAUGCAAGUAGCACGCUGAAGAGAGGAGCUUGCUCUUCUUGGAUGAGUUGCGAACGGGUGAGUAACGCGUAGGUAACCUGCCUUGUAGCGGGGGAUAACUAUUGGAAACGAUAGCUAAUACCGCAUAACAAUGGAUGACACCUGUCAUUUAUUUGAAAGGGGCAAUUGCUCCACUACAAGAUGGACCUGCGUUGUAUUAGCUAGUAGGUGAGGUAAUGGCUCACCUAGGCGACGAUACAUAGCCGACCUGAGAGGGUGAUCGGCCACACUGGGACUGAGACACGGCCCAGACUCCUACGGGAGGCAGCAGUAGGGAAUCUUCGGCAAUGGGGGCAACCCUGACCGAGCAACGCCGCGUGAGUGAAGAAGGUUUUCGGAUCGUAAAGCUCUGUUGUAAGUCAAGAACGGGUGUGAGAGUGGAAAGUUCACACUGUGACGGUAGCUUACCAGAAAGGGACGGCUAACUACGUG